rnacentral:rRNA from 1 species
GACAGAGGAGCCAAGCGUUGUCCGGACUGACUGGGCGUAAAGCGCACGCAGGCGGCGCUGCGCGUGGGGUGUGAAAGCUCUUGGCUUAACUGAGAGAGGCCAUCCCAUACGGCAGUGCUCGAGCGGUGCAGAGGUCCGCGGAAUUGCCGGUGUAGUGGUGAAAUGCGUAGAUAUCUGGAGGAAUACCGGUGGCGAAGGCGGCAUCCUGGACCGGCAUUGACGCUGAUGAGCGAAAGCUAGGGGAGCAAACGGG